CGACUAAGGUUCGAUUCGAGCGCAGCGAGAAAGCGUUGCCGCAGGCAACGACCCGAAGGGCGAAGCGCGCAGCGCUGAGUAAUCCUUCCCCCAUCACCA
rnacentral:sRNA from 1 species